ACUCGAAAGCAAUAUCCACUAAAACCAGGACUGAAAC
rnacentral:other from 1 species